rnacentral:rRNA from 1 species
UACGGAGGGUGCAAGCGUUAUCCGGAUUCACUGGGUUUAAAGGGUGCGUAGGAGGGCAGGUAAGUCAGUGGUGAAAUCUCCGAGCUUAACUUGGAAACUGCCGUUGAUACUAUCUGUCUUGAAUAUUGUGGAGGUGAGCGGAAUAUGUCAUGUAGCGGUGAGAUGCUUAGAUAUGACAUAGAACACCAAUUGCGAAGGCAGCUCGCUACACAUAUAUUGACUCUGAGGCACGAAAGCGUGGGGAUCAAACAGG